UACGUAGGGGGCAAGCGUUGUCCGGAAUCAUUGGGCGUAAAGAGCGUGUAGGCGGCCCGAUAAGUCCGCUGUGAAAGUCCAGGGCUCAACCCUGGAAUGCCGGUGGAUACUGUCGGGCUCGAAUCCGGAAGAGGUGAGUGGAAUUCCUGGUGUAGAGGUGAAAUUCGUAGAUAUUAGGAAGAACACCAGUGGCGAAGGCGGGCUCACUGGUCCGGUACUGACGCUGAGGUGCGAAAGCGUGGGGAGCAAACAGG
rnacentral:rRNA from 1 species